rnacentral:misc_RNA from 1 species
AACGCAUAUUGCACUCUCCGUCCCGCGGGGAGUAUGCCUGUUUCAGGGUCUGUUGCAAAAAUCCAGAAUUUACUUUCUGGGAGAUGAACCUUUCGCGUUUUUCGAUGCGAUGGUUUAAAAUUUAAUGCGUUUGCAACUGACAGGACGCGUAAUAGUAGUAAAAUGCUAAUAUCGUAACUUGUCAGGUGACAUUAAACGUGUUGUUGGGUUAGAUUCGAGUUUAUUCUCGGGCGUGAUCAAACAAUAAGUCUUACAUAGACCUGAAAUCAAGCAAGAUUACCCGCUGAACUUAA